rnacentral:rRNA from 1 species
AACGCGAAGAACCUUACCUACCCUUGACAUCGAGAGAACUUUCCAGAGAUGGAUUGGUGCCUUCGGGAGCUCUCAGACAGGUGCUGCAUGGCUGUCGUCAGCUCGUGUUGUGAAAUGUUGGGUUAAGUCCCGUAACGAGCGCAACCCUUGUCCCUAUUUGCCAGCGAUUCGGUCGGGAACUCUAGGGAGACUGCCGGUGACAAACCGGAGGAAGGUGGGGACGACGUCAAGUCAUCAUGGCCCUUACGGGUAGGGCUACACACGUGCUACAAUGGCCGGUACAAUGGGUUGCGAAUCCGCGAGGUGGAGCUAAUCCCAUAAAGCCGGUCUCAGUCCGGAUCGGAGUCUGCAACUCGACUCCGUGAAGUCGGAAUCGCUAGUAAUCGUGAAUCAGAAUGUCACGGUGAAUACGUUCCCGGGUCUUGUACACACCG